rnacentral:lncRNA from 1 species
UGAACUAAGAAAUGCAUCUUCUAUUCUUUUUGCAAAACUUUUUCCAUGGAAAUCAAAACCACCCAGUAGAUUUCUCACCUUCCCCAUGAAGCAUCCUAAGCGUCCCAAUAAGUUGCAAAAGCACUCACUUUUCAUGCUCUUAAAUUCUGCAACAACGAUCAACAACUUCCCUCUUCCCUCUAUUUUGGCUUCUCUUAUACUUGCAAUCGUUUUCUAGAUUCUUGAUUCUUUCUCGAUUCAAGAAAGAUUCAUUUAAACCCAAAACCCCAUUAAAGAUUCUUCAAGAAAAGGAGAAAUGGG